GGUGAUGUGAGGCUCACCCCCGUUAUGGGAAGACACUCUCACUGAGCGGGGCUGGGAGAAACUGGGAAGGCACUGCACAGUGUUAGGAUAGCUCAGAAGGAGACCCCAGGAUAACAAAAAGGCCUGCAUGAUCCCCAGCCUGACCAUCAACAGGGACCUGCCAUGGGUCAGAAGGGACCUGCCCACACAUGUCCGCAUGUCCUCUGCGGCUGGGGAGGAGGAGGCAGGAUUCCUGGCUUCCCUCCAGGCUCUGCAACCACUUCCCCUCCUCCCUCUCUCCUGCUAUUAAAUUUAGGUCUCUUUCCGGAAUGUUCUAAGCCUUUUU
rnacentral:lncRNA from 1 species